UUUGUAUUUGAUUUUAUUGGCUGUUGAAAGAGCGAGUUGUGAAUUUCAACCAAAUGGAUGAUACUAUUCACUGGAGGCACUGUUCAAUUGUUUCUGCUUUGAAUUCCCUACACUUUAUUCCAUCAGCUUACUGUAUUUGCCUAUAAAGCUUACUGGUUGUUUUUGCAAAGUUUUUGUCUCUAGAAGAAAGUGUACCUUUUCUUUCUUCAACUUGUUAAUCAAUUUGGCUCACAUUAUGUAACGCUAUGUCAUUGUGAAUGGAUUUAUUAGUACAGAUUAUGCCUUUUGGAAAGAUGGUCUUGCGCUGGACCUGGACUGGGGUUGUAGAUUCAGUGGGUCGGGGGGAGCUAUUAUUACUAAGGCUCCGUUAGAUUGGUAAAGAUAUAUAUGAAAAUCUCUUAAGUAAUCUUGAUUCC
rnacentral:lncRNA from 1 species